rnacentral:lncRNA from 1 species
GGAGUGGUUAAUCUGUUCCUUUACAUGAUAAUGUAUACUCAGAUGCAUCUUGUAAUGUGCAAUUGCAAGUUUCCAAAUAAAGUAAAAUUGUUGGCGACAUGGCACAUGUGUUAAAGUCUUCUGUCACAGUUGACUCAGCAUGAAUGAAGACAUUGAUACCAUUUUGCAUUAUGGAAUACACAAGUUGGCAGUUCCUCGUCCACUGCCACCCAAAUACAGGUAUAAGAAAUCCUUAACUGUACGUAACAGACGAUGGAGACGAAGUGAUUAUUAUGUGUGGCAAAAGAUUAUUUUAUGAA